CUUUUCUUUGCUUCGCAGUGAUUGUAGCUGUGUAGAUAGUUUUUUUUCCAUGCCCCAGGGUGAUGCUGCGAUGGAACAAUGGAAGGAGGAUUCCAUCAGACGAGAGUGAUCACAACGCCGCCGCCGGUACCACCGGCAACAAAGAACCGAGUAUAAAAAACGCUCGCGAGAGAGCAAUCGAUGAGAGAUCCAAAGCAUUGGAGAUCGAGGUUCCAAGGUCCCCAGCUCCUCCGUUUAUACAGAAGAAGAGCUUUACAAAACUUGGUUUUUGCUAGAGAGAGCUACGUGGGGAAGUACUUACCGUCCCUCACGCUGCAUAUGGAGGAAUGGGAAUGAGCUCUCAGCUCUCGAGAGUUGCCCGGCUUGACACAUCCAAGAACACAGGCACGAAAAGCUACGCUUUGAUAAUUUUUUCUCCCUCGUAGACUUUCGGCCUUGCAGGUGCACAGCACACAGAAGUUGCUACGUUCAAGAGCUGGCGCUGGAGAAGCUGUCAACCUUAUUGUUAGUGCUUCCAGAUGCUAAGGUUUCAAUCUUCAUACUGUUUCUUCGCAGGAUUAUAUUACUCUCCCGCUUCUGCAAUCGCUAAUGCACGUUGCUGUUACAUGCUAACAGCUUUCUUUUAAAA